GUGGAAAGAAAGACCUCCUGCUAGAAGACAAAAAUAAGAAGCUAAUGAAUGAAUAUGAUCAUUUAAAGGAAAGCCUCUUUCAAUAUGAGAAAGAGAAAACAGAAAGAGUAGUGGUUGUGAGACAACUUCAACAAGAAGUGGCCGAUUCCCUUAAAAAAUUUACUAUGUUAGAGUCUCCACUGGAAGCUACAUCACGUUGUCACAUUAAUUUGGAUGAGACACAGGCCUCAAAGAAGAAAUUAUUUCAAGUGGAAAGUCAAAUAUAAGAAACUCCUGGAAAUGACAAUAAAUAUGUUAAGUGUAUUUGGAAAUGAAGACUUCGGUUGCCAUGGAGACUUAAAAACAGAUCAACUGAAAAUGGAUAUUCUGAUUAAGAAGCUAAAACAUAAGUUUGAUGAUCUUACGGCAGAGAAGGAAACUGUAUCUUCAAAAUGUGUCAAUUUGGCUAAAGACAAUCAAGUUCUUCAACAGGAGUUAUUAUCUAUGAAAAAAGUACAACAGGAAUGUGAAAAACUUGAAGACAAUAAAAAGAUGUUGGAAGAAGAAAUAUUAAAUCUUAAGACACAUAUGGAAAACAAUAUGGUAGAACUUAGUAAACUACAAGAAUAUAAAUCAGAGCUAGAUGAAAGGGCAAUGCAGGCAGUAGAAAAAUUAGAAGAAAUCCAUUUACAGAAGCAAGCACAAUAUGAAAAACAAUUAGAGCAGUUAAACAAGGAUAAUAUGGCUUCACUAAAUAAGAAGGAACUCACACUUAAAGAUGUGGAAUGUAAAUUCUCCAAAAUGAAAACUGCUUAUGAAGAGGUUACAACUGAGUUAGAAGAAUAUAAGGAAGCCUUUGCAGCAGCAUUGAAAGCUAACAAUUCCAUGUCAAAAAAAUUAAUGAAAGUGAAUAAGAAAAUAGCAAUGAUCAGCACCAAGGCUCCUUAUGGAGAAAGAGAGGGUGAAAUAUUUUCUCAGCACUCUUCCUACAAGGCGAGGCCCAGAGUCACCUUGUGUUCAAAAUCUUACUAGUAUAGGACUCAACAGAAAAUAUAUUCCCCAAAGGCCCGUAAGAAUUCCUACUUCAAACCCUCAGACUUCAAAUAACUGCCAGAACUCCUUGACUGAGAUGGAGCCGGACUGUGUAGAACAAAUAAUUAGAGAAACAAAGAGAACUGUUGCUGUGUUGGACACUUGCUCCCAUCUACUUUCUUCUCUGGAAUCCACUGCAGAGGUGGAGCCACUGAGGAAGCACAGGCGAGCCCUCCCCAGUGGGUGCUCACUGGUCCCCACAGAAGAACCGCUGCCACAUCAACUGAGAUGUCUCGGCUGCUCUACAAGGGAGUCCCAUUUCAGAACAGGACAAAGAGGCCAGGUGAUGUCAGGAGCCCAGUUCUCCAGCUGGAGGGAAUGUCAACCCUGCAGUGGGAGCAGGGGCCCGUCGCACAUCCUAGGCACAGAUGGUAACGUAGGCACCGCAGGUAUGCAGGGAUUGGUACCCCUCCCUGUCUUCAGAAAGAAGCCAAACAAGGGGCUUUCUGCAGAAUGAAACCUCCUUUCCUUCCGGAAGCACUGCUGACUGUUUGGUGGUUGCCCUUGUGGCAGUGAGACUUUUGUCUUUUCUGAGGUUGGGCUGGUUUCUCCUCUUGGCCCUGCCCUACAGACCACAAAGGGAAUCAGCAAGAGGUCCCCAGCAAACAUCCACAGAUGGCCCUGGACAUCAGCCACAUUCUGAGAAACAUGUCAUGUUCUGGGAGGGCUAAGGCAAGAAAUAUGGCCUAUGGGGCUGGAGGAUCCCAGGGCAGGUGCCACAAUCCAGAGCUGUGGGGGCUUCCCAUGGGAAUUGGGAGGUCCCAAGGCAGAGGCAGGGGUUCCACAGGAGGAGUCCCAGAGCCACCAAGCGCUCUCCUGGCCCAGGGAGCAGUCAACACCAUGGACUGAGCACCUACUGGGCUCCAAGCUCUGGGCCAGGCUGGGGCAUGUGGGGCCAGGAGGGAGCUCGGAGUGGGAAAUGGAGAGACAAGUGUGCUCAGAGGGCACCCAUUUCUGGGUGUAAUGUGGUCCUGAGAUUCUGGCUGGGAAGUGCUUCCAGGGUUUCAUAUGUGUUAUGGAGCUGCUUCCUCUCCCCAGCCUCACCCUGCAGGAAUCCCAGGGAAUGUAUUGCCACCAUCUUGGAGCUCAGUGCCCUCAUAGUGUAACAGCACCAGCAGAUCUGCCUGUGCAUGGACUUCCUGUACUACCCAUUCCUGAGGGGUGAUGAUUCUGCAGGGCCUGUGACCUGGUGCACAAUUUUAGACACCAUCAUCCUGCAGCAGCACUGCACCCUCACUAGCCAGGGUGUUGAUGACUUCCUCAAGGCCAAGGCCACGUUCAAGAUUUGGGACUUCAGUGAUGCACUUGUGCUGGGCAAGGUGGCUUCUCCAGGAUCUUAAUUCAGGAGGUAGAAUGGAGCUUGAGGUUAAGUGUCUGAUCAAAGAACUUGAACUUGAUCUGGAGGGCUCUGGGAAGCCAUGGAAGGUGCUGGAUAAAGGAGGGACAGUCAGAUAUGUUUUAGAGAUGACUGUAGAAGGCUGCCUGGAAGGAGUGAACAAGAGCCAGGAGACCAGGGAGGGAGCUUGUGGGGCAGGUCUGGAGAUGGCAAGGGAGGGAUCCUGUCAGUCUUCAAGGACUGUCUCAGGUUACACUCAGGUGCCCUCAGAGCUAGUGUGUUCAGAGGUCUUGUCUCCAGGAUGAAAAUGGGAAGGAGUCGUCAGAUGAGGACAUAUAAAUGGAGGCUGGCAUCUUCAUGAGUACCAGUGGUGGUCCCGGUGUAGGUCUCUCCAUCCAGGGACAUAGUGGAUGGACAUUACAUCACUCCAUUCUGCCCUUCCUUUCCCUCCUCUCAUUCUCCCGAGGGCCUCACUGCAUGAGCACUGUCCAACCUCUGGUGCUGAAGCAGCCAAGAGAUCCAAGCCUGUGUGGCUGCCUCUUAGGAUAUGACAGCACAGCCAGUGGCCUCUACUGGAUCCUAUGCAACCUCAGAAGACACCCAGACACCAUGAGUGAUGCCACCACGUGGUGCAAGAGUUCUGAGGGACCGCAAUCCUGAACACAUUGAAUGGCUGUGUUCCUGCUCAUUGCUGGAGGUGCUGUCAGGGCCCCAGCCCUCAACCCCAGGUCUGACCCUUGCAGCUCAGGCAGGACAUUCUGGAGGAAUCAUGUCCUUGGAAGGAGCCCUGAGGAGUGACUAUUGUUAGAUGAAAAAACUGGGGCAAAGAGCAAUACGGAGAGUUGCCCAAAUUCACACCACUGGUCCAGGUUUGAAGCAAGCAGUCUGUACCUGGAGUCCUUGUCUGUAACCAUGGCACCCUGCCUUCUUACCCUACUCAUCGUGGAGUUCCACCUUGUGUCAGGCACUGCACUGAGCAGCUUCUUUUAAGAACAUAAUUUGUAAUUAUGUAGAUUACUAAUUCUACUUCAAAACGCCACACAGCCUUCAUGUGAUUAAAUGAAACAAUUGCUCAUCUGAUCUCCUGGGAUCUCUACUAAGAUGCUGGCAGUCCAGCCAGCUGGUCCUGCCCUGGACGUGACUUAGCAGCUGGUUAUGCUUCAUGACCUGCAUUGUGGGCAGUGCCACUUUGCAGACCCUGGUCAGAGUGAAACAUUCCAUGGGAACUUGGGCCAUGAGAAACAUCCUUCCUAACCACGUGACUGCAGAAACAUCCUUAUCGCAUCCUUCCAGGCAAAGGCCCAACAGCCUGACUGCAGGAACAUCCUUGCCAUAUCCUGCCGGGCAGCAAGCUCUACCACCCUGAACCCUCCCUCCCAGUCCCAUGAUUACCCCAGCCUGUGAGUGGCAGUUGGCCCUGGGACUAAGCUGGUUUACCCCUCCGCAGGGUUUUGCUGGCAAUAAAGGUGUUGCUGUUGAAGCCGCCAA